GAAGAGGUGGGGGCACCUGGGGUUGUACAGAUAGUGGCUGCGGGAAGCAUCUCCACUCUUAGGGCUUAGGGAAUUAAAGCAAGAAUUGAGGUACUAGGAACUUGGAGGAGGAACCCUGUAGUUCUGAGGUCCAUACAUGUUGGAGAUGGUGCCGUGCAACCAGUGAUGGUCUCUAAGGAGCUCAAUGGAGAGGCCUUUGGAGGCACAGACUCAGGAAUUCUCAGAAAGGGAUACUGGCAGCCCAAUGCUGGCACCUCUGAGAGGACAGAGGGAGCCUAUUCUGGGAGGGCUUGCAAAAUCUGGACAGAAACAGCUUUCUGCCUGCAAAGACUGAUUGCUAAGGCAAUGCUGGCAGCAAGUGAACAUGAAGUAAUGUCUCCAUUGCCCUUUCUCCUGUCCCCCUCCUCCCAAAAUCUCUUCAGUGCCCCUGAUUACAGAACCUAAUCAGAAAACAGCUGGCAAAAGAGGAUUGUGGUGUGCAGAGACCCAGUCCUAGAAUCUCAGUGGAGAUCAUAGAUGCUACUUUGGGGGCUGUGAGACUAUAGCUAAGAAACUAGCAAAAUUCUUACCUGUUUUCUAUUGAGAGGGAAAUUAGAACAACCUUCUUUGUUCAAAGUCUGUACCUAAAAUGAACCUCUCCAGAGGACUUGAGAUGCCAAUAUUAUUUAAUGGACCCAGUAGUCUGGUUUUCAAACCUAGAUUUUGGGAAGAGAGACUCACUUGUUCCAUCCAGUACAAUUAUAAUUACUAUUUUUGCAGAAAUAGAAAUCCAAGAAGCCACCAGGAGAGUGAAGCAAAAGAAUUUGCUCUAAAGUGGCUAAUUUAAAAUUGAUCACUAUGACAUGCCUUCUUAAGCUUGAGAUGUUUCACACAAUCAGGUUUUUAGUAUUUUCAUUAGUGUCAUUUGCAUAACUGAGAUUUUAUUUAAUUCUUUUUGUAGAGGAUUCUUUUUGUAAUGAAACCAACAUAGCUAUUAAAGAGAUAGACCUGGUCUGAUGAAUAAAUGUGAUUUCAUUGUAUUUUAUGUGACUGCACUGUAAUUUCUUGCAAUAAAUUUGGCCUGUAAGGCGUGUGUGCAUAUGCAUGUGUGUGAGAGAAAGAAAGGUAUGUAGUAGGAACCAUUAAAAUUGGCAGUUUUCUUUCCACAGAACUUAGUGCCUUAUACAUUUAUUGAUGAGUUUUCAGUUCACAAAAUGUCAAUGCUAGAAUAUGUAUAUACAUGUAUAUGUACAUAUAUAUGUAUAUAUAUAAAGUUUGUUUUUCAUAAUAAUUUAAUGAUUUAAGGGCAAGAAAUAAAUAUGUUUCAGUAUCACAUGAUGGUUCUAUUUUUAGCAUUAGUCUUUUAGAAGGACAUCCACAAGUAUCGUAAAAAGAGAAAAGCUAUAACAUCCAAAUUAUUUCCUUCUCUGACACACUUGAUAUAUCUUGAUUGUCCUCAUAUGUUCUUUUGUCUGCUAUUACUGACAUUUAGAUGAUUUAUUUCAAAACAGGUUGAGUAAAAAUAGUGUUUGAUGCAUAAGUUGUGUAUAUCCCAAUCUUUACUUUCUAAUAUCUGUUUUAGAAUACCCAUUGACUUAUAAAAACAAAUAGAAUUAAAUCCAUUGUCCAAAAAUAUGUAAGCCAUAGUGUCGUCAGGGAUGGGUACAUCACAUAGAACUGUGAAUCUGCAGUCUAGAAAUACAUAUGUGAUUUUUUUUUUGGUUGUUGUUCAGAAUUAGAGGAAAAGCUGCCAGAUGGAAAAUGACACAAAGAAUUUGAGAUGAGUGUUGUUGGAAGGCGCUAAGGUUUAUUUAUUUUUUUCCAUAUUCCCAAGAGUUUUUGUUUUGUUUCAUUUAGAGAAUCCUUUGGCGAAUAUUUCAAGAUGUAGAACCCUUAUCUGUGAAGUAUCCCGAUUGAAGUUGAGGCAUCCACGUUGGCAGUGCUUCAUGUUGGGGUAAGAUGUCAUGAUUCUUAAUAUACUGGAAUGGCCUUUGAAGGAUAUGAUGAGGAAAUAUAUGUUUGUGUGUGUAAAUAAAAAUUGUGAAGGCUUGUAACCAGGUGCAUAAAUUUGGAUUUCAAAACAACUCUUUUUAAUUAUUUUGCAAAGAUUAUGUUGUGACUCCCUAAGAGGAGUGGGACAAAACAGGGAACUUAGAUUUGUUAUUGUUAACUUCCCACUUUGCAUAUUUCCAUUAUUUACCUUAGUCAGUAUGUCAACAUAACAGCCAUUGGGAGAGGGUGUGAUUGUCAUAGCACAGAUGUGGAACAUGGGCGUUCAGAGAAAUUAAAACCUUGUCCAAGAUCACGCAGCUAGUAAAGGGUACAGGAGUGAUCUGACUCUUUGCUCUACUAUUUUUGCUGCCUCUCUCAUCAUUCGUGAUGACUGAGGAGCCAGAGGAUUAAAAUAGGCUGAGGGCAAGACCCUCAAGUUUUAAAUUGCUAUUGAGCAAAGUCAUAAUUGCCAUCCCUCACAUAGAAAGCCAAAGCGAAGGAAUUUCUUUUAUAUUUUCACUACUCUUGAAAAGAGAAAGAUUUCUGAAAGUCAUUGACUAGUUACAUAGAUGAUGGUGUUUCAAAGAAAUCGAAACUUACAGAAAAACUGACAUAGGAAAUGUGUGCUAUAAUUUUCCCAUUCACCUUUGCUAUAAAAUGAAAAUCUGUAGUAGGCUUUGUCUGUGCAAAUACCCUGACAUGACCAACCACAUCAUUUAAUGGAGCUGGUACCAAUUCUUCCUUUAUGCAUUACUGAUAUGUGACUCAAGUAACUUGAGCCUCUUCCCUUUUCUGUUACUUGUACCAUGAAGUUGUUGCAAGAUUCUAUUAAAAUAAGAGAGAAACAUAUAAAAAGCACCUGUAAUUCUGCCUGGUAUACUAAAUAGCAGCCUUAUAGAAGACCUUAUGAUGUCACAGCUAUCAAAAUGUAAGCCAUUAUUUUAUCCAACAUCUAUCCAUGAAGAUUUGUAAUUAAAGGAAUGUUGAAUGUGUAAAAGAUUCCCUCCAUUCGCCAUUACUUAAAGUUAGGCCAAAAUGUAUUUUAUUUAUAUAGAAGUCAUUUGUUUGGGGGCAAUUCAGAUGGCUGAUUGAAACCUUUAGAAUUCCAGUACACUUUAGGUGCAUUCAUUUAUAUAUGGCAAUACGCAGGCUCUUUUGUUCAGGGGUUCAGCAGUACUAUUGGAUUUUGCUGAUCUAGCUUUCUUACCUGAAAGUUUUCAAACAAAACUUCACUAUUAAUUGCAAACUAGAUGCCCACUGUGUCUCUGUGAGUCAGAUUUGUUUGGGCUAUUGAACAGUGACACCCUGGGAUCUAUAAAGCAUUCUCUCAUGGACUUCAUGCUUUCAGUCUUGCUUCUGUGUUGGAUAUAAUCAGCAACAUUUCUGUGGGGACAGAUACCACACCUGAAGUUGAAGAUUACAUUUUCUCUUUGUAUGUUGUGAAAUGGAAAAAUAAAAACGAACAACUUUCAAGGUGAGAUUCUGAUAAGAAGGCUUCAUCAUCCUUGCAUUCCAAUGUGUGUUUUCACUUUUUUAUGGUAAAGUAAGAGCCUAUAAAAUUAAUGAGUGCAGUGAAGGUCUUAGACUAGAAUCUCCAACAUAAAUAGACAAAGGCUCCCCCCAGAGCACCAUGGGAAAGGAAUCUAGGCCAUUCUGUACUUAAGCUACUUUCAAUUAGUUUACAUUCUGAAAACACCUGCAAAAUUGUCCAUGUUCCUCCUACGCUGUAUUACUCCUCAAUUCAAGAGUUUGCAUGUGAAUGGAUGCUCUUAAAUAAAUAAUCCCAAAUUCCCACUUUACACCCAGCUUUGGAUGGAGUUAAGAAGUUGUUAUUUCUUAGGGAUAGAGUAUUCUUUGCUUAGGCCCUCAUUUCUUUCUGCCUUUUCUCUUUAAUAACCAUAUAUUUGCAUCAUGGUCUUUGCUAAAUUUACGUAAUGAUCAAGUUACUCAACCUCUUUUAAGCCUAGUAUUAUUCAUCAUAAUAUGAGAAUCAUAAUAAUUAUAUUACAGACACUUUCAGAUUCGACCAAGAAUAUGUAUACAUCUCUGACUGCUUAGAGCAUUGCUGAUGGUUUUAAAUGCCGGCUUUAUAUCCGGAUCUGCUUGUAGGUUUGAUAGCAUGUCGCUCUCCCAAAUAUUCAUCGAGAAUUACUUGUAAUCUUCCAAAAGAAGAACAAAAUUAAUUUAAAAGAUGAGUUUGACUCAUGGAGAGGGACCUGAGUGUUAGAGGAAGCCUCACCUUGCAUAUAUGCGCCUACCCAGGAAAAUAAGUAUUUUAUUUGUGAAUUAUCAAGCCAAGGAAAACAAAUAUUUCCCAUUUGUUUGUUCAUAUUACCUGUAUGGUAAUGUUCCUUUUAAUAUUUGUAUAUCUAGGCCAAUAGUUCUUAACCAUAUAAGUGUUUAUAAGAACAAAUAAGAAGGUGAUAAAGUGAAAAGAAAGAAGUCCCAGUUAAUGACAACAGGAACUCUGAAUUGGCUAACAUUUAUUAAAAGCCUUCUAGUAACCAGUUGCUUUCAUAUGUAUUGUUUGUCAAAUCUUGAUUCUAGUCCUUCUCAGCAGUUAACAUCCCCAUUCUACAGAUGCAUGAAAAUAGACAAAAAUUACUGGCUCAAGUCAUGGAGUUAGGAAAUGAUAGGGCCGGGAUUCAGUCUUGGCACCACAUCAGCGUGUGACUGCUACAUCUGCUUCCUAAUCCUAGGAUAAUUCAAUUUCCUAGUCACGAAAGGUUUUGUUUUAUGGCAGCCGGCAGCAUAAGCACAUAUGGGAACAAUCAGCCUGUAUUUGUUUUGUUUAAGCUCCUGAACACUUAAUUCACCAUCACCUGCUGAGUUAGGCUUUGAAAGGCAUCAGUUGAGCAGACCUAUCUCAUCUGCUUUGCAAAACUGCACAGAAAUUUUCUGAGGGAAAAAAAAAAAUGCCUCAAGUAUUUUCUGAAGAUUCUUCUUGUCUUGCACCUGUGUGACUCUUGAAUUGCAUCAAUUCAGCCAGUCUCCUUUUCAUCUAGAUCUGGCUAGUUGUCUAAGUUCUAGGUAAUAGGAGAUGAGCUACUGUAAAUGUGUGCCACAUCCAGGUUAAGUCCUCAAGGCACAUGUGCAGGCUUCUCCUCCUUCCUCUAGUAACUAAGAAAUGAAGGUGGCAUAGUAUGACCUGGUGAGCCAUCUUGUAUCAUGCAGACAAGGAUAGUUGUCUGAAGGUAGAACUGCAGAGAGGAGCCUGGCUUCCUGGCUUACUUUACAGAGCAAAACAGUUCAGAAUGGCUUCUCUGCUAAAUGUCGUAUGAAAGGUGGAUAAGCUUCACUUGUUUAACCAUUGCCAUUAAGCCAUUACACACGGUGGAAGAAGUGCUCUAGUGAAAUGCCUUCUUCCAUAAAUGUGUUAGCCAUGAAUGCCUGGCAUGCCGUGACUCAUUUGGGAAGUCCAUCUAAGCCUGAAAAGAAGCACCAAGCUCUUAAAUAAAGAACACUGGGGUGGUUAUCUCGAUGUCAUUAAUUUAAACUUUGAAGCAUCUCACCUCACCCCUCUUACUUCUUACACUAUUCUCCUGAAUACCUUCCCCUAUCUCCAUUUUCCUUUUAGCCCAUGCCCUUCCAGAGAAGUGCAUAAAUGUGUAGCUUUUAUCAGCUGUCCUAUCACCUUGAUAGUUUAUGCAUUUACAGUGUGGAGGAGACAAGCUCGAAACAACAGGAAUAAUGAACCCUGAGAGGAACUUAAGAGUCCGGCCCUGCUUAAAGACAUUCAAAGUAAACUUAAUGCAUACACAUACAUACAUAUCAGGCUAUCCAAAUAAAACUAUCAACAGGAUAACAUUAAGUAAACUUCUUGAGCUUCAAGAUAACAAUGCCCACAUCUAUACAAUCUAUAAGAUUUUCUUCAUUGUUCUUUUACCUUUCACGUAAUUCCUCACCUGGUCUAUCCUCAUUUUGCAUGCAGGACAAAACUGAUUUUUUUUUUUCUCACAUUUAGUAAUCUCCUUGGAUCUUAAUUUUAGAGAAGAUUUUAAAUCUAUACUUAUUUUCAUCAUAGCCAAAAAGUAUCUUGGUGUCUUAUGGACACCGUGUUCUCCUAGCUUCAUAAUCUAGUCUUGAGUUACUCUUUAACUGCAGUUUUGCUACAGAGAAUGCUCCCUACCAAAAUAGAGUUUUGAUGGUUGUAUUGGCACUCUGGGACCCAGACUGAGAUCCCUUGGCUCUUUAUCUUGCCUCUUAACACUUUAAUUUGUGCACCUUCUGACUAGCAGAGUACAUGCUUAGUAUAUGCCUUGAAAUGUCUCAUGGUUGAUUGGCUGCUAUAAGGCAGUAUUUUGUCAUUCUCUGUCACUCCCUUAAUGGCGUCUUCCCCCUCUAAGUGUACUUGCAGGUAUUUUCACCUCAAUGGUCUGCACAGAGUAUCUCAUUUAUUCCCCUACACCACUGAGAUAAGUAAAAUGACCUCACUUUAGUCACUGACUCAGCAAAAAAUAUACUUAGCAUUUAUUUAUGCCAGGCAUUGUUUUAAGCAAUGAGGAAGAAGGUAAUAAUAAGCCUCCCAAUUGCUCACUCUGUAAUAGGGAUGAUAAAU
rnacentral:lncRNA from 1 species